CGUUGAAACACCAGUUCUCAUCCAAUAACCAAAGUUAAGCUACCUAGAACUUGGUCACUACCUAGAUGGGUGACCGCUGGGGAAGACCAGGUACUGUAA